AUUGAACGCUGGCGGCAGGCCUAACACAUGCAAGUCGAACGAGUGGCGGACGGGUGAGUAAUGUCUGGGAAACUGCCCGAUGGAGGGGGAUAACUACUGGAAACGGUAGCUAAUAACGCAUACCAUCGGAUGUGCCCAGAUGGUACUAGCUCGUAGGUGGGGUAAAGGCUCACCUAGGCGACGAUCCCUAGCUGGUCUGCGAGGAUGACCAGCCAACAGGGAACUGAGGCACGGUACAGAUUCCUACGGGAGGCAGCCGUGGGUAAUAUUGCACAAUGGGAGGAAGCCUGAUGCAGCCAUGCCGCGUGUAUGAAGAAGGCCUUCGGGUUGUAAAGUACUUUCAGCGGGGAGGCGUUACCCGCAGAAUAAGCACCGGCUAACGCCGUGCCAGCAGCCGCGGUAAUAC
rnacentral:rRNA from 1 species